rnacentral:rRNA from 1 species
AUUGAACGCUGGCGGCAUGCCUUACACAUGCAAGUCGAACGGCAGCACGGGGCAACCUGGUGGCGAGUGGCGAACGGGUGAGUAAUGCAUCGGAACGUGCCAUUGAGUGGGGGAUAACGUAGCGAAAGUUGCGCUAAUACCGCAUAUUCUGUGAGCAGGAAAGCAGGGGACCGCAAGGCCUUGCGCUCUUUGAGCGGCCGAUGUCAGAUUAGCUAGUUGGUGAGGUAAAGGCUUACCAAGGCGACGAUCUGUAGCGGGUCUGAGAGGAUGAUCCGCCACACUGGAACUGAGACACGGUCCAGACUCCUACGGAGGCAGCAGUGGGGAAUUUUGGACAAUGGGCGCAAGCCUGAUCCAGCCAUGCCGCGUGAGUGAAGAAGGCCUU